UACAGAGACUGCAAGCGUUAUUCGGAUUCACUGGGCGUAAAGCGUGCGCAGGCGGCUAUGCAAGACAGAUGUGAAAUCCCCCGGGCUCAACCUGGGAACUGCAUUUGUGACUGCAUAGCUAGAGUACGGUAGAGGGGGGGAUGGAAAUUCCGCGUGUAGCAGUGAAAAAUGCGUAGAUAUGCGGGAGGGAAACACCCGAUGGCGAA
rnacentral:rRNA from 1 species